AUACGUAGGGUGCAAGCGUAAAUCGGAAUUACUGGGCGUAAAGCGUGCGCAGGCGGUUUUGUAAGAAAGUGGUGAAAUCCCCGGGCUCAACCUGGGAACUGCCAUUGUGACUGCAAGGCUGGAGGGCGGCAGAGGGGGAUGGAAUUCCGCGUGUAGCAGGGAAAUGCGUAGAUAUGCGGAGGAACACCGAUGGCGAAGGCAAUCCCCUGGGCCUGCACUGACGCUCAUGCACGAAAGCGUGGGGAGCAAACAGGAUUAGAUACCCUGGUAGUCCACGCCCUAAACGAUGUCAACUGGUUGUUGGGGAUUUAUUUUCUCAGUAACGAAGCUAACGCGUGAAGUUGACCGCCUGGGGAGUACGGCCGCAAGGUUAAAACUCAAAUGAAUUGACGGGG
rnacentral:rRNA from 1 species